AAGGGCACCACAAGAACGCGUGGAGCAUGUGGCUUAAUUUGACUCAACGCGGGAAAUCUUACCGGGUCCGGACACACUGAGGAUUGACAGGCAAUAUUAGCACUGAGCUUCGGCGACGUGUUAUGUUAAAUAUGCUAGUCCUUUCAUGAUUAUGUGAUAGGUGGUGCAUGGCCGUUCUUAGUUCGUGGAGUGAUCUGUCUGCUUAAUUGCGUUUCACCAAGGGCCUAUAAUUUUACGUGUGUUGCGGCACUUUGACCCCUCUUUUUUUAAAGAGCGCGUGUCUUGGUUUGCUUAGCUCGCACAAUUAGGUCCUGAAAGCAACGAACGUGACCGCAACCUCUUGUUGCCUUUAUACCAAACGUGCAUAUGCAAUUUUUUAAUUGCUUUGCGCGCAAAAAGGCUUUUUAAACUAGAGGGACCGCUGUUACUUUCUUAAACCAGAGGAAGGUUGCGGCAAUAACAGGUCUGUGAUGCCCUUAGAUGUUCCGGGCUGCACACGUGCUACAAUGAUUAUUGCAGUGAGCAUCUCAUUUUUUACACACCGCAUACGCGAGACCAUUUAUUCACCUUUCGGGGUGCUUUAAAUGUGUUUUCUCUGCGAGCGGUAAAGCCUGCUUCGAAAGUAAGUGGGUAAUCAAUUAGAAGUAAUGAUUUCCUUUUUUAGCACACAUAUAUACGGCGUCUAUGCCCGGGUUACCUUGUUGUAGCUUUUGUGCGUAUAGAUGUUUUUUCCGUAUGUGCGAUUGUCAAUUCGUGGUGGGGACAGACCAUUGUUAAUUGUUGGUCUCGGUCUUAACUAGGAAUGCCUUGUACGGGUCUUUGGUUCAACAAACCACCCGGAAUACGUCCCUGCCCUUUGUACACACCGCCCGUCGCUCUUACCGAUGGACUUCUCUGUGAGUUUGAGGGACUGGGAACGCGAAGUUAUUUUUAAUAACAUACGCACCUGCCUAUGGAAACUUAAACGAACAGUGUGGUCUAAAGGAAAGAGAAGUCGUAACGAGGCAUCGGUAGGUGAACCUGCAGAAGGAUCA
rnacentral:rRNA from 1 species